rnacentral:rRNA from 1 species
AUACGGAGGGGGUUAGCGUUGUUCGGAAUUACUGGGCGUAAAGCGUACGUAGGCGGAUUAGUAAGUUAGGGGUGAAAUCCCGAGGCUCAACCUCGGAACUGCCUCUAAAACUGCUAGUCUUGAGUUCGAGAGAGGUGAGUGGAAUUCCUAGUGUAGAGGUGAAAUUCGUAGAUAUUAGGAGGAACACCAGUGGCGAAGGCGGCUCACUGGCUCGAUGCUGACGCUGAGGUACGAAAGUGUGGGGAGCAAACAGGAUUAGAAACCCCAGUAGUCC